rnacentral:siRNA from 1 species
GAUAAAGCUCCUUACGUAUUCUUC